UGGUCAAGUUAUUAAGGGUGCAGGGCGGAUGCCUUGGCACUAGGAGCCGAUGAAGGACGUGAUAAGCUGCGAUAAGCUUCGGGGAGUUGCACGUAAACUUUGAUCCGAAGAUUUCCGAAUGAGGAAACUCACUUAGAGUAAUGUCUAAGUAUCAUUAAGUGAAUACAUAGCUUAAUGAGGGGAACUCAGGGAACUGAAACAUCUAAGUACCUGAAGGAAGAGAAAGAAAUUCGAUUCCGUAAGUAGCGGCGAGCGAACGCGGAUUAGCCCAAACCAAUAAAGUUUUCUUUACUGGGGUUGCGGACAUAUCAUAACGAAGAGGUAUCGUAAUUGAAGAGGUUUGGAAAGACCCACCACAGAAGGUAAUAGUCCUGUAUGUUAAACGAGAAGACUUCAGAUAUGAUCCAGAGUACCACGGGACACGUGAAACCCUGUGGGAAGCAGGAGGGACCACCCUCCAAGGCUAAAUACUACCUAGUGACCGAUAGCGUAUAGUACCGUGAGGGAAAGGUGAAAAGAACCCCGGGAGGGGAGUGAAAUAGAACCUGAAACCCUGCACUUACAAGCUGUGGAAGCACAUUUCUUGUGUGACCGCGUACUUUUUGUAGAACGGGCCAACGAGUUACGUUAAGUAGCAAGGUUAAGCACUUAAGGUGCGGAGCCGUAGCGAAAGCGAGUUUUAACUGAGCGUUCAGUUACUUGACGUAGACCCGAAACCGGGCGACCUACCCAUGAGCAGGAUGAAGCGAAAGUAAAAUUUCGUGGAGGUCCGAACCCACGAGCGUUGAAAAGCUCGGGGAUGACUUGUGGGUAGCGGUGAAAUUCCAAUCGAGCCCGGAGAUAGCUGGUUCUCCCCGAAAUAGCUUUAGGGCUAGCCUCAAGGUGAGAGAUACGGAGGUAGAGCACUGAAUGUCCUAGGGGGUAUUGCACCUACCGAAGACUAUCAAACUCCGAAUGCCGUCAUCUUAUACUUGGGAGUCAGACUGUGGGUGAUAAGAUUCAUAGUCGAAAGGGCAACAGCCCAGAUCGUCAGCUAAGGUCCCUAAAUGUAAGUUAAGUGGUAAAGGAUGUGGGAUUGCACAGACAACCAGGAUGUUGGCUUAGAAGCAGCCACUCAUUCAAAGAGUGCGUAAUAGCUCACUGGUCGAGUGAUCCUGCGCCGAAGAUUUCCGGGGCUAAAACUUACUACCGAAGCUACGGCAUCAGUAAUGAUGGGUAGGGGAGCUUCCCAUACGGGUUGAAGCAUGACCGUAAGGACAUGUGGACAGUAUGGGAGUGAGAAUGUUGGCAUGAGUAGCGAGAUGUGGGUGAGAAUCCCACAGGCCGUAAACCCAAGGUUUCCAGGGGAAGGUUCGUCCGCCCUGGGUUAGUCGGGACCUAAGCUGAGGCCGAAAGGCGUAGGUGAUGGACAACAGGUUGAUAUUCCUGUACUACCGAUAACCGUUUGAGAGAAGGGAUGACACAGUAGGAUAAGCUAAGCACACUGUUGGUUAUGUGUGCCCAAGCAUUGAGGCAGUCAAAGCAGGCAAAUCCGCUUUGAUAAUGCUGGGAUGUGAUGGGGAGCGAAAUUUAGUAGCGAAGUAGCUGAUUUCACACUGUCAAGAAAAGUCUCUAUCGAGGUUAAAGGUACCCGUACCGCAAACCGACACAGGUGGGUGAGGAGAGUAUCCUAAGGCCAGCGAGAGAACUGUUGUUAAGGAACUCGGCAAAAUGACCCCGUAACUUAGGGAUAAGGGGUGCCACCAUCCGGUGGCCGCAGAGAAUAGGCCCAAGCGACUGUUUACCAAAAACAUAGGUUUCUGCUAAGUCGCAAGACGAUGUAUAGGAGCUGACGCCUGCCCGGUGCUGGAAGGUUAAGGGGAUCUGUUAGAGCAAUCGAAGCAGUGAACUUAAGCCCCAGUAAACGGCGGCCGUAACUAUAACGGUCCUAAGGUAGCGAAAUUCCUUGUCGGGUAAGUUCCGACCCGCACGAAAGGCGUAACGAUUUGGGCACUGUCUCAACAACAGACUCGGUGAAAUUGUAAUUCCGGUGAAGAUGCCGGAUACCUGCGACAGGACGGAAAGACCCCAUGGAGCUUUACUGUAGCUUGACAUUGGGUCUUGGUACUACAUGUACAGGAUAGGUGGGAGGCUUUGAAACCAGGACGCCAGUUUUGGCGGAGCCAUCCUUGGGAUACCACCCUUGUAGUACUGGGACUCUAACCAUAGGCCAUGAAUCUGGUCUUGGGACACUGUCAGGUGGGCAGUUUGACUGGGGCGGUCGCCUCCCAAAAGGUAACGGAGGCGCUCAAAGGUUCUCUCAGUACGGUCGGAAAUCGUACGUAGAGUGUAAAGGCAAAAGAGAGCUUGAUUGCAAGACAUACAGGUCGAGCAAGGAUGAAAAUCGGACUUAGUGAUCCGGUGGUUCUGCGUGGAAGGGCCAUCGCUCAACGGAUAAAAGCUACCCUGGGGAUAACAGGCUUAUCUCCCCAAGAGUCCACAUCGACGGGGAGGUUUGGCACCUCGAUGUCGGCUCAUCACAUCCUGGGGCUGUAGUAGGUCCCAAGGGUUGGGCUGUUCGCCCAUUAAAGUGGUACGCGAGCUGGGUUCAGAACGUCGUGAGACAGUUCGGUCCCUAUCCGUCGCAGGCGUAGGAAAUUUGAGAAGACCUGUCCUUAGUACGAGAGGACCGGGAUGGACGUACCUCUGGUGUACCAGUUGUUCUGCCAAGGGCAUGGCUGGGUAGCUAUGUACGGAAUGGAUAAGCGCUGAAAGCAUCUAAGCGCGAAGCCAACUUCAAGAUAAGAUUUCCCACCGCAAGGGUAAGACCCCAGAAAGACUAUCUGGUUGAUAGGUCGAAGGUGUAAGUGCAGCAAUGUAUUUAGCUUAUCGAUACUAAUAGGUCGAGGACUUGACCAAU
rnacentral:rRNA from 1 species